GUAUAUCAUACUUAUCUUUAUAAACAUUUGUUUUAUCUUCGAAUGAAAUAGAUCAGUUGAUAUUGUACUAUAUCAGUGUGAAGGAUGUGUUCAUUAUACAACAAUCACACCCCACAAUAAAGAUAGAAGAAAAAUCCACAGGUCACCAAUAGAUACAAAUAGAUAUCUAGCAUCCAUUCAUGACUCAAAUUCAAUAUAUUCACUAGAAAGAACCACAAAAAGCAAGAGAACAGCAC
rnacentral:lncRNA from 1 species